rnacentral:misc_RNA from 4 species
AACGCACAUUGCGCCCUCUGGUAUUCCGGAGGGCAUGCCUGUUCGAGCGUCAUAAUGACCAAAUCACCCCUGUGGUGGACUUGGAGUUGGCCAGUACUGGCCUCUCUUAAAACCAGUGGCGGUGCUCUUAAGCUCUACGCGUAGUAAUUUUUCUCGCUAUAGGGUCUUGAUUGUGCUUGCCAACAACCCCAAUUUUUUAAGGUUGACCUCGGAUCAGGUAGGGAUACCCGCUGAACUUAA